UACGGAGGGGGCUAGCGUUGUUCGGAAUUACUGGGCGUAAAGCGCACGUAGGCGGCUUUGUAAGUCAGGGGUGAAAUCCUGGAGCUCAACUCCAGAACUGCCUUUGAUACUGGGGAUCUCGAGUCCGGAAGAGGUGAGUGGAACUCCGAGUGUAGAGGUGAAAUUCGUAGAUAUUCGGAAGAACACCAGUGGCGAAGGCGGCUCACUGGUCCGGUACUGACGCUGAGGUGCGAAAGCGUGGGGAGCAAACAGG
rnacentral:rRNA from 1 species